UCUUGGGUGGUGGUGGUGACUUGUAAACUGGAGUUGGUGGUGAUGGUGAUUUGUAGACUGAGUGUGUAGAGAGUAGUAUGACUCCUUAGGUGGUGGUGGUGAAUUGUAAAUGGGAGUUGGUGGUGGCAGAGACUUAUAAACUGGUGCGGGAUUGAUAUAGCUCCUUGGGUGUGGAGGCGAUAUGUAGACUAGGGUUGGUGGAGGUGGUGACUUGUUGACUGGGUGUGUGGAGGGUAGUAAGGCUCCUUAGUAGUGGUGGCGACUUGUAAACUGUAGUCGGUAGAGGCGGUGACUUGUAGAUUGGGGUAUGAGGAGGGUAGUAUGGCUCCUUAAGUGGUUGUGGUGACUUGUAAACUGGAGUCGGCGAAGGUGGCGACUUAUAGACUGGGUGUUUGGAGGGUAGUAAGGCUCUUUGGGUGGGGGUGGCAACGUAUAAACUUGAGUUAGUGGAAGUGGUGAUUUGUAGACUGGGUGUGUGGGGGAUAGUAUGGCUCCUUAGGUAGUAGUGGUGAUUGGUAAAUAGGAGCCGGUGGAAAUGGCGACUUAUAGACUGGGUGUGUGGAGGGUAGUAAGGCUCUUUUGGUGGGGGUGACGACUUGUAAACUGGAGUUGAUGGAGGUGGCAAUUUGUAGACUGGGGUGUGUGGAGGAUAGUAUGGCUCCUUGGGUGGUGAUGGUGGUGACUAGUAAAGCGGAGUUGAAGGUGAUGGUGAUUUAUAAAGUGGUGCAGGAUGAUAAGGUGUUGGUGAAGGAUGGUAUGGCUCUUUUGGUGAUGGUGGAGAUAAAUAUUGAUAAUUUGCUGAGCUUUGGGAAGCCAAGCAAAGUGACACAAAAACCACUAAAAGAGUGGAAAAUAGAGAGGCCAUUUCUCCCAAAAAGAAACAAAGGAGAGAAGUUGUUGUCCCUUUAAGCUGCACUCAAAGCCCUUUGUAUAGCUUUCAUUUAGAAGGUAUAAGGCUAAAGUUAUGUAUUUUUAAUUAGUUUUGUCAUGUUGUCGGUUCAAUUUGACCUUUGUUGGUAUACUUUUUUUUUUUUGUUGGAUAGAAGGUGCAAGCUAAGCAAAGAAAUUAACUACUAUGGCAGCUAUACUAUUUAUGAUGCAAUAAUUCAAAAAAAAAUACGUGGAUCCCACAACUUCCCACAAGAUUUUAGUUAUAGGAAUCUGAGCACUUUUUUUUUACACUUAGGGUGUGUAUGGUACGAUGGAAAAUAUUUUCUGAAAAAUGUUGGUUGUAGUAAAAAAUAUUUUCUAAGAUAAUUCAUUUUUUCCUAUUUGAGGGAAAAUGACUUCCCUCAUGGACCAAGGGAAGUUAUUUUUCGGAAAAUGAUAAAUGUGACUUAUGCCCCCAUCCUCACCCCUCUUCCCACCCCAACAACACUCAUAUUCACAUAACUCAAAAAAUUCACAUUUUUAAAAAAUUUAUUUUACUCAAAAUAUUUUUCACUGUGCUUUGCUUCAAUUUUUCACUGCUUGAAAUAAAAAAUAGUGAAGCCCGACUUUUUUUCAUUUCCAAUGUUCGUUGAAUGUAUUGUUAUUUUCAUAUGCAUAGAGGAAGACUUACCUAUGUUACUUUUGCUAAUUGCAUAUUUUAUUUUGUCAUCGAUGUUACUUCUUUCACGAGGUUGAAUAAGCUUAUCGUCCCGUUAUAUUUCUAUUGAUUGUAGUAUCUUGAGAUUGUCCUGAAAAAAUGUUGAAAAGUGUCUCCUAUAUUUGCUAAUUAAUAGUUGCUUAAAUUUAGUGAUUGUAAUAUUUUAGUAUUCGAUAUUGAUAUUAUUUAUUAUGCUUAAAUUAGUUCUUACAAAUUGUUGAGUUGCUAGAUGCACUGAUAUACUAGUUAACAGUUAGUAGUAUUUUCUAAAAAAAAAAAUUUCACUCACCAAUCAAACACUAGAAAAUAUUUUUCUAAAAAAUAUUUUCUACUCACCAACCAAACACCAUAAAAUAUUUUUCGAAAAUAUUUUUCACUCACCAACCAAACAUGAGAAAAUAAAUAGAAAACCAACUUAUUUUCCAAGAAAACAUUUUUCAUGAAAAAUAUUUUCCAUCGUACCAAACACACCCUUAGUAUUUGAAGAAUUCAAUUCUUGUGGAUUCUGACAGCUUAACUAACCUUCACUUAAGUGCUGAGAAAUUUAAAACAAUAUGUAUACAGUAUCAUAUAUUCUUUAAAAGAAAUGAUAUGUCAUUGUUAAAAGAGUUUAAUCUAGAGAAAACUGUGCAUGUGACUCGCUUUCAUUACCAACUAAAUCAAUUAUGUUCUUUCCUUUUGUGUAGUAGAGCUAAAAGAAACAUCAACCGAUUAUUUUGUAGCUCAAUGUUGAAAACUUAUGUGGUUCAAUAUGAUAUCUCUGAAAAUUUUACAGCUUGUUUGAUAGCUGCUGCCUAAUAAUGUAUUGUAUCGUGUUGCUAGUUUAAAUAUAAUGUGUAUUUUGAUUGUUUCUUAAAUUUUACUGUAUCAUUAAAUCUAUAACUAGAUAGCAAUAAAAAGUCUCAUUUGGUGUAACGACCUAUUUGAUGUGAUCGCGUUGUUACCUUUUUUCCCCUUUUUAUUUAUUAUUUAAUUAUCUUAAUGCUCCUUUAUCCUAUAUUUUUAUAGUAACUCUACCUCACAUUUUUCUAUUUUCCUUCUAGGCUUAUCCUUGAACUGUUAUAUGAAGGAUGCAAUGUAAUGACGAAAAAGGUAUAAUAAAUCCAAAUAUCGUAACAUUCACUAAAAUAAUAAAGUACAUACAAUACAACAUGAUACUUUAUGAAACAAUAUCAUUCCAAGUUAAGGACUUGAUUAGAAUGUGCAUGUUAAGUGUCUGAUGGGUUACUUAAGUAUAAAGUUCAAGUCCAUAUAAAAAGAUAAACCCUAAUUAUAAUGCCUUCAUCAUGGCUGGUCGACAGUAGUCUACUACUGAAUUUCCUCCUUUGAACCCAAAUUCUAUUGUGAAUAUCCAAACCCUACCGUUGGAUAAAUCUUUUGUUGAAUCAAUCAGUACAACAAAGUUGGACACCGUCUCUCGCAAAGAGGUGGUCAUGGUGGAAGGAAUCCCGAAUGUCACACUGAAAAAAGUGGAUACAGUGAAUAAAAUGGAGAAUUUGCAAUUUGUUGUCAUAGGUAAAUUCACUUAAGAAUGGACGGGUAUAGAAGAAUUAAGGAAUAUUAUCCCACAGCAAUGCAACAUUAAUGGUGAUUGUCAAAUUGGAGUAUUCAGAAAUAAACAUAUUUUCAUUCGUUAGACACAGGAGUCGGAUUUUAUUAAUAUCAUCAUCUCAAAGGGAGCUUUUUCCUUGCACUGUAAGGAUGGGUUCUCUUAUUUGAUGCGAACACUCUCACACUUAUCUAUGAUCCCCUUUUCAAAGAAACUUUAGAGACUACAAAGACUUUCGCAUGGAUUUCUUUCCCAAAUCUAUUGCCUACCUAUUAUGUCAAGGAAUGUUUGUUUUCUUUAGCUGCAACAGUGGGAAAGCCUGUCCAACUUGAUCUAGCCACCAUUAAUAGGACUAGACCAAGUUGUGCAAGGAUUAAGGUCUUGGUUGAUCUAAAAGCUGAUUUCUCUAAAUCAGUCCGGAUGGAUAUUGAAAAUGAAGAGUCAGGUAAAUGCAGGACAAUAGUGAAGCGGAUUAAAUUCGACCAUAUUCCUAAGUAUUGUCAUGAAUGCAAUAUGCAAGUUCAUGCUAAGAAUCAAUGUAGAAACUUAGGCACCCCAGAGGAUGCAACAAUGGCAGUAACAGUGGAUAAUAAGGAAUAAAAGAGGCCAGUACAACAUCUUCCUAAAUUCACAAUGCCUUUUGUACACAAAUUUCAAAACGGAAAAGCAUGAGUUCUUUCGAGUGGGAUUGUAGUUGGAGAUCCUACUAACUGGAUGGUUAUUAAAAAUGAUAAGAGGAUAGUUAAUACUUCCCAACAGCCUCUUUUAAUGAUAUAGUUAAUACUUCCCAACAGCCUCUUUCAAUGACAAAUAACCAAUUUGCUGCUCUAGCUACCGACGACAAAGAACCUGCUGAAUUAAACAUUUCGACAAAGGAGAGUUCAAACCUUAAGGCAUGUACGGAUGUGUUCCAAAUAAUAAGGAAAAUGAAAAAGUUAAUCUGUGGUCCAAUAAAGAAUCUGCUAAAGAGUGGGUAUCAAGGGAUUUUGGCAAGCUAGGUGAAGUUCCCAAUUCUGUAAUACCUGUACAGCAACAAGGCAGUCAGCAACUAAGUAAUCAACAACAAAGGCAAGAUAGAGAUAAUAAUGCUAAAGAGAAUAAUAAAGAUGGUAAUGGGAUGGAGAAUGAUAUGCAGGUUAAAUCUUUAAUAAAUCAGGAGCAUAAUAUUGAUGAUGGUCAGCAACAAUGCCUCAUAGUCAAAAAGGACAAUCUGCAAUCUAUAGAAGAUGUGCAACCAGAUACCAAGCAAUAGUCAAUGCAGAUUAAUCAAGAUUUUUACAGUGGAAGCUAUGAUAAUGGAGAUAGGUCAGUUGAGGAAAGUGUGGGGAUAACAGUUGUGAUGCAAGGGGAACAAAAUGUGUGUUUAGAAAUAAUGGAGAUUCCAAAACCAGUGCAGAUAGAUGAAUCAUUUAUCGUUACCAAGAGUUCUCCCAACAAAGUAAUACAUGACAUUGUCUCUCAUAGUUUAGGGUACAUUAAAUGCAGUAAUCAAACUCACAUGGCCAAAGGAGUUAAAGAAGUAGAUGUAGAAGAUGAUUCGAAGGAUCAUGCUCCAUCGGAAGCUGAUUUAUCACCAAGACUGAUGAAAAUCUCUAAAAAAGGAUAAAAAAGAAUGUGGAUGGGAGAAAACUCACAACCUACCAGAGUUCAUCCUAAGCGAUCCAAAUCUGCCCUAAAUUAUCAAUGAAAGCACUUAUUUGGAACAUUAGGUCUGUGAAGACACAACAAGAUUUCAAAGACUUCAGAUGCUUAAUAAUUAUCAUAAGUUCACCGGUUUCAGUUUGUUAGAGCCUUUUCAGAAUGUUAGAUAUAAGAGAAGAUUGAAAAUGCAUAGGGCUAUGUCAAACUGCAAUAGCAAGAUUUGGUUUUUCUCCUCUCAAGAUGUGAUAACAACUGUUAUUAAAGACACUGAUCAUCAGCUACAGUUCACUUGCAGGAGUAGGCUCAGAGCUUAGAUUUAUUACUCUUGUUUAUGCAAAGUGUUCUAAAGAGGAGAGAUUAAUCUUAUGGAAGGAUAUUUAUCAAGUUGCUUCUGGAAUUUCAAAACCUUGGAUGCUAGGAGGAGAUUUAAUGUUGUUUUGAAUUCUGAAGAGAAAAUUGGUGGCCUUCCAAUUCUUGAUGCAGGCCAUGGGGACUUUCAAUCAUGUAUUUCUUAUUGUGAUUUGAUGGAGAUACCUUUUAAAGAAAGUUCUUUCACUUGGUGGAAUGGUAGAGCAGGUAAUGACUGUAUUUUAGAAAGAUUGGAUAGAAUUUUUACUAAUCAACAACAACAACAACAACAACAACAACAACAACAAACCCAGUGUAUUCCCACCUAGUGGGGUCUGGGGGGGUAAGAUGUACGCAGUCCAUACCUCUACCUCUGCUGAAUUUUUACUAAUCAAGAUUUACAAAAUAAGUUCAAUCACAUGAAGGUAGAACAUCUUGCUACUAGUUCAGAUCAUGCUCCCAUGUUGUUGUAUUGUUAUGACAGAGCUAUCAGUUACAAGAAAUCUUUUAGAUUUCUUAAGUUUUGGACUGAUCAUCCUAAGUUCCUAGAAGUAGUAAGGCAGAAUUGGUGUUCUUCAGGUUCUCAGAGUCCAUUCUUAGAUUUCAAAGCAAAGAUUAAGAGAAUUAAAGUUGCUUUGACAAGAUGGAGUAAAGAGACUUCUGGGGAUAUUUUUAAAUAGUUGAUAAUCAGGGAAGAAAUUGUCAAGAUCAAAGAGAAAUUAUUUGAGGAAUGCCCUACGGCUGAUAACAGCGAAGUGUUGCAAAGAGCUCAGUCCGAGCACAAAAUAUAUCUUCGUUUUGAAGAGAUUUUUUGGCAGCAAAAAGCAGGUUAUGACUGGUUUGAGAAUGGUGACAGAAAUAUUAAAUUUUUUCAUAGCACUGUGAAGGGGAGGAGGAAAAGAUUGAAUUUGAAUAGAAUUCAAAUUAAUCAGGGUAUUUGGCUGGAUAAAGAAGAAAAGAUAGCCGCAGAGGUUGUUAUGUUUUAUCAGGACCAAUUUAGACAAGAACAAGAGGCUAAUGUUUUUUCAUAACUGAAUAAUAUACCUAAGAGUAUUUCUGAUGAGCAAAAUAUUGUUUUAAGUCAGUAAGCUGAUCUUGAAGAAGUUAAAAAGGCACUUUUUAGCUUAAAUGAAUAUAGUGCAAGUGGCCCGGAUGGGUUAACAAGUAGGUUCUAUCAGGUUCGCUGGGAUAUUAUUGGUAAUGAUGUUCUUAAUCUGGUGCAAGAUUUCUUAAAAGGUAAUACUCUUCCCAAAUUCAUUAUUCAUACUAAUUUGGUGUUGCUUCCCAAGAAGGAUUUUAUUCAAUUUUUCUCAGAUUUGAGACCAAUUAGUCUUAAGUAAUUUUAUUAAUAAGAUCAUUUCUAGGAUUGUGCAUGACAAAAGUGAACUUCUUUUGCCUAGACUGAUUUCUUUUAAUCAAUCUAAAUUUGUCAAAGAGAGAAGAAUUAUUAAAAAUUUCCUCCUGACUCAAGAGAUAGUUACUGACAUCAGAAAAAUGGGUAAGCCGGCUAAUGUGGUCUUAAAGCUUGAUAUGACUAAGGCUUAUGAUAGGGUUUCCUGGUUUUUCCUGAUGAAGGUUCUAAGAAAAAUAGGGUUCUCAAAAUUGUUUAUGGACUUGUUUUGGAGAUUAUUGUCUAAUAAUUGGUAUUCUAUACUAAUUAAUGGGCGAUCACACGGCUUUUUUCACUCAACUAGGGGAGUAAAACAAAGAAAUCCUUUAUCUCCAGCUUUCUAUUUGAUGAUGCUCAAUAUGUAGGUUAUGAUAUGCCAAAGUGGAGUUCCAAUAUUAAUCAUCUUGCUUAUGCAGAUGACACUAUUAUAUUCGCUGCAGCUAACAGAUACUCUUUGAGAAAGAUUUUUUCAGUGUUACGGGAAUAUGAAACUCAAUCAGGGCAAAAAGUUAAUAAAGAGAAGAAUGCUUUCUACAUGCAUCAGAAUUCAGCUGCAGUUGAUAAACAAAUGGUGGAAGAUUGUGCGGCUAUUUCUAAAGGCCAAUUUCCUUUGAAAUACCUUGAAUGUCCUAUCACUCAUGCUAGAAAAAGAAAGAGUCAUUAUUCAGAGCUAAUUCAGAAGGUUAAGUCAAAAUUACAGGCUUGAAAAGGUAAUAUUCUCUCAUAUGGGGGGAAAGGAGGUCCUUAUCUCUAGUGUUCUUCAAAGUGUUCCUAUACAUAUCCUUUCUGUUGUUGUCCCUCCUAUUUGUGUAUUGAAGGAGCUUCACAGAAUAUUUGCAAAUUUUUUUGGAGUAAUAAGGCCGAUGGAAGAAACAAACACUGGGCUGCUUGGGUAAAGGUGUUUUUACCAAAACAGAAGGCAGUUUGAGUUUUAGAUCGAUGUUUGAGGUAUCUCAAGCCAUGUAUCCUAAGUUCUGGUGGAAGUUCAGAACUCAAAAUACUACUUGGUCCAACUUUAUAUGAGACAAGUAUUGCAAAAAGCAAAUACCUUCACUAGUUUAAUGGAAAGGUGGCUCGCAAGUAAGGAAGCAUAUGUUGCAAAAUAGGGAUCUAGUGGAGCAAUUCUUGUGGUGGAACCUAAAGGAGGUACUUCUACAGUUUGGUAUGAUAAUUGGACUCAACUUGGUCCUCUUUUCAAACACCAGGUAGAGGUCAUUCUUCUUUUCCAGUGAUGGAUAUUGAGGAAUUCAUGUUGGGCUCAGACUGGGAUUUUGAGAAUAUGCAAUAUCAUUUAUCAGAUAAUGUAGUAGAGCAUGUAAGAUUACAUUUGAGGCUUGUACGACAUCCUGGAGAAGGUGACAAGCCCUGGUGGAUUAAAUUUAGUUCUGGCAAGUUCUCGGUUAAAAGUGCUUGGGAAGAACGGAGGAAAAAAACGUUUGUAAUGAGUCAUUUCAGAAGAUCUGGGUAAAAGAGAUUCCUUUCAAAAUUUCUUACUUUGGUUGGAGAGUUUGGACAAAUAGGAUUCCUGUAGCCUCUGUUUUAGCUAAUUGGAAUCCUAACUUGUCUCCUCUUUAUUCAUAUUGUGUUUCAAGAAAUCAUGGAGCACCUCUUUCUAAAAGGUGAAGUGGUUUAUUUCGGUUUGGAUUUAUUACGCCAAUGCUGCAGGUAUUCUGGGGCCCUGGGUUCAAAUUAAACUAUCCAUAAAGAAGUGGUGGGAUAUAAAUGGUAAUUAAAGACAAAGAUUCAUCUUUCAGGUAGUUCCUACUCUCAUUUUGUGGUUUUUACGGAAAAGAAGGAAUGCAUUAGUUCAUGGAGGUUCAUACUCUACAGCCAAGGUUAUUUGGGAUAUUAAUGGUUUAAUUAAGAAAAUUCUCAGAAAGAAGUUUGGUUAUGAUCAGUUACCAUCUAGUUGGCCUCAAAUAGUUGCUUUUUGACUUAUUUAGACCUACAUUUUUAUCUAGAUGGAUAAGAUGGUAUCCCCCACCUAGGGGAUAGUGGAAAUAUAACACUGAUGGAACCUCGAGAGGUAAUCUAGGUCGAAUUUCAGCUGAUUUUUGUGUACGAAAUCAUGUAGGUGAUCUUGUGUAUGCUAAGGGUUUCUCUAUUCCAGAUUCCACUAAUCUGGUUGUUAAAGUCAUUGCUAUAGGAGUUGGUUUACAUUAUUGCUUAGAAAAUCAAAUUGUCAACAUUAUUGUGGAAUCUGAUUCCCUUGUAGUAGUCAACAUGAUUAAUGGAGUGUGGGAAAUUCCUUAGAGUGUGAUAAUGGAGGUCAACUCCAUUAAAGAUAUGAUGGAUUCUUGUUCAGCAAGAGUACAACACUCCUUAGGAAAGGGAAAUACUCUUGCUGAUUAUUUAGCUAACUUGGUUUUUCAUUUUGCAGGUAACUUUGAAUUCAACAGUUUUCAUGAAAUUCCAAGCGCAGGUAGGAAGAUUAUCAAUCUAGACAAACAAGGCAUUCCACAAAUGAGGAUAAGACAGUGUACAUCAACUAAUUCAACAAGGGAUGGAUCGCUACUGCAGAUUACAAAGUGAAUUUACAAACUCUAUUAGCAGUGACUAGUUACUGGUGAAUUUAGUGCAGUCUGAAUUAGUUUCGUUUGGUUAACAUACCAUGCACCUGUGGGAAUUUUUAGGUGUUACAUAGAGUAUAAACCCAGGACUCACUUAUACUAGUUGCUAAUUUCUAGGUAUAGAGUUUAUAAAAAUCAAGCACAAAUUUAGAGGCAUUUCAUAGUCUCAAAUCUGUUGAUGAGGAGAGGAUGGAGUACCCGGGACCUCAAAUUUAGCGGCGGAAGAUAGACAGGGUAUAAUUAUCAAGCAAUACAAUUCUUUUAUACAGAUUCCACUUCAGAGAAGAACAAAAAUAAUCAUUGCCAACUUAUGGAUUGCAAAGUGUCAAAAUACAAAUUUCAGCAUUUGGAGUAACACAAGAAGGCAAGGAGCAAGAUAAGUAUUAAUGGACAGUAGUGGUGAUUAACAUUCACUAAUACUGAUUGAUUUCUAAGUCAUACAAUUGAAAUGGGGGUUAAGGUGAACCUGUUAGUUCUGGAUCCUUGGUGGUGGUAUCAAUCUCCUUGAGGUUUAUUCCGCUAGGAAAAAGAGAGAACAGUGAAAUCAUUUUUUUCAUUUCACAGAUGAGUUUAGAAUAGAAAAAGGGAGGUGACUUACCAUAUCAUCUGCAAUAAAUAUUUAUUGAUUUGGAGCUGUAGAAAUUUAGUUGAAACCAAUUUCAUGAAGUUUGUAAGAGAUUAAAGUGUCUUAGUGAAAUUUGAUGGAUGUUCCAUGGCAAUAAUGGCUUCCACAACUUAAUGCAACAACCAGAUGAGGUUGGAGUAGCAAAGAUUGAAACCAUAGUUGCCUCUCCGUGAUGUCUUUCAGCUUUGAGUUUUAUCCACACAUUCCUUUUCCUGCUUACAUUUUCUGUUUUUGGUCUUUUCAGAUGUCUGGAUAUAUUUGUUGCUUUUGUUUUGGACCCGGGUCUUGCUUAACUUGGGCCAAUUUGUACAUAUCUUUUCUGCUCCUGAAUAAAUUGGGCUCUGGUCCAUCUUCAAUUAAAAAAAAGGAAAAAUGACAUGGACUGACCAGUUUAAAAAAAGGAAAUUUUGCAUAUAUACCGACAUGUUUACUCUUAAUUACCAAAAAUUUCAACAUUUUUCAAAAUCUCCAAAAAUUCCAACAUUUGACCUCUGAUAAUACAAGUUAAUCACAUUAGAUACAUACUGUUGAUAUAUGUAUCUAAUGUGAUUAACUUGUAUCAUACAUUAGAUAUAUGUAGGGUUACAUUAGAUACAUGUAGGGUUACAUUAAAUACAUGUAGGGUUAACUUGUAUCUCAAAAAUAGUCCCAAAUAUGAAAUGUUGGAAUUUAUGUAAUUUUUCAGAAGUAGGGGGAUUUUUAGAAAUUUUGAAAGUUAUGAUGUUUAUUUAUGUAAUUUUUUGUUAAAAAGAAAAAAAAUAGCCCACACUAUGAAAAUAUGGACAAUUGGAGCCAGUAGACCCAAUUUAUUUCCUGUUUUUUCAGUCAUUUGGCCCAAAACUAUUCUCCUUACACAAUUAAGGGGAUUAAAUACUCUUCACAGUAGGCUACUCUUAAAUCACUUUUCUUUUCAAACUAUACUUUCCCAAAAAAAUGUUCACCUCUAUUAUGUGUCGAUCAAUCUACUGUGUUUUGUGAUAACAAUUGAGUUAGUAGGGCACAUGCAGUCUCUAUACCCAAUUGAUACACUUUUGUACCAUAUUGAUACAUGUUUAUACCCAAUUGAUACUCUUUAUACUACAUUGAUACACUUUUAUACUCAAUUGAUACUCUUUUAUACUAGAUUGAUACACUUUUAUACCACGUCGAUACAGUAUGUAUAUUACAUAAAUACAUCUUUUACAGAGGAAAUUUGUGCAAGCAUAUACAGUAACAAUACCAAAUUAAUACAGUAAAUCAAAAUUAGUAAGUACGAACAUAAUUGAUACUCUUUAAAAUUAUAGUAUUAAUAGUACAUAAAGUAACAAAAAAAAAGAUCAAAUCAUCUUUCCAUCAAUUAUUGUUUUGAUUUAGUUCAUUCUUUCUCCUUAACGCUCUUUUAUAUUUCUAACUUCCUCUUCCUACCUUUAUUUUCUCUUCUUUUUUUCUUUCCUUCAUUACUAAGUUAGUUGUAAACACCCAUAUGAUGAAGUAUGUAUUUACUCUUGAGUUGAUGUCAUAUUUAUCCUACUAAGAAAAAUCACAGGUUCUGUAAGGAAUUGUCUAGACAUGGAGUACAUAUAAAAAUUUAUUCUGCCACUUGAAAAAAACCUGUAAAAAACUAAUUAAAUUCAGAUUUUUUGAGAUUUUAUACAAAAUUUAUGAAAUGAGAAAGGUAAAUUGGAGUAUCGAAAAAAGGUAAAGGAACAAAUAUUUAGGAGUUUGAAUGGAAAGGAAACUGGGAAUGAAAAGAAAAGAAAGAAAGGGAAAGUUACUUCAAGGAUGUUUUUGAUUUUGUUUAAGCGUAUGACAGUGAAGGUUAGUUAGUGGAAUUACUCUGUGUCUAUUUAUGAUGUAUUUAAUUUUGACUGCUAUUUUUUUAUAUUAUUUUAGUUUUAGGUGUUAUUUCUGUCAUUUGCCCAAAAAAAAAAACUUACUAUUUUACUACAAUUCUUGUUGGUAAGAAUACAUUAUUUCUUUUUUUUUUUUAGGGCAAACAACAUAAAUUUCGAGAAUUUGGAGCUUAAUUACAGAAAAUUCUGAUAUUUUGCAUAAUUGUUGAAAAUCUCAAUUUUGGAUCUGUUGAGAUACAUUAUUAGCUUCUGAUACAAUCAAAAAGAUACAUUUUUAACUUUGUAUAGAUAUAUAAUUAGCUUCCGCUACAUAUUUUUUAAAUUUUGCGUUUGUUGAGAUAUAUAAUACAUCCAAUGAAGAUAUAUUUUUUUCUUUGUAAAGAUAUAUAAUUAGCUCCCAGUGCAGUUUUUUUAUUUUUGGGUCUGUCGAGAUACAUAAUAAGCUUUCGAUACAUCCAACGAAGAUAUAUAAUUAAUUGAGCUUUUUGUAGUUAUUUUGUAAGAGUGAAAAUUUUGUAUAAAUAUAAUAAGUUAAGAUGUAUAUUUAUACUAUUUUUCCAUAAUUUGCUUGCGAACCAAAUCGACCACUAAAGAAUUGAAAAGUUAAACAAUUUGUUCCCAAUACAGAACAAACUUUAGCCUAAAAUUUAAUGCUAAAAAUUACUACAAUGAGCUGAGUGGCUGAAAUGGUGCCACUUAAGAAUAAUUUGGUGGAUGAAAUGAAUGAAUUGUUUUGGAGUACAAAUUUUGAUUUAGACAAUCUAUUGAAAUUUAUUAUAGUACUGUUUAUAUUUAGGGGCCAUUUUUCAGGAUCUAUGAAAAAUUUAUAAUGUUGAGUAGAACAUACUAUAAAAGUAAUGUUGGAUAGAGCAUAUCACACAUUAGCACAAUCCUAAUCAAUAAUGAUAGCUAUUCAUCUCUAGUUCACUUUUAUAGUUAAUCAAAGAAUUAUUAACAACGAAAAUUAAUUUUCUUGUUUUGGUUUUCUAUCAUUGAAUCAGCAAUAGUUUGAUAUAAGAACUAUUCAGAACAGACUAAAUUAAAGAGAAAGAUGGAAUACCGUCAAUGAAAAUAAUAGGAUAUGAUAUCUUCAAAGAUAAAGAAGGCAGUGAACUUUUUACACAUAUAAUACGUAUAAUUAUUAAAGAAUAUAAAAGAAAUUAAAAAAAGGACAUACAGUACAUAUAUAAACUGGAAAAGAAGAUCAAUAAUGUAAAAGUUUGAUGUUAACACUGUUCCUUAAUUAAAAUUUCCAUAAUGAUUAUACUCGCUAUUUUCUUUCAUUUGCACAAAUCAAUAUGCUCCUUUCCCCCCUUUUUUUCUCCUGAUCACUCCUUAAAGAACGAGACAUAUAGCAUACAUAGAGAAGAGAGUACUUUGUCUCCCUCAAUAAAUACCUUGAGAAAAAAAUGUAACUCAUUAGUAGUUUCUUGAUUUUGUAAAAUUUUCUUUAUUUAAAAAAGAGUAACAUUGGAAGAAGGUCAUUAGUAUCUUUUUUAUUAUCUAAAACAACAUUUAUUAUCUUUUUUAUUAUCUAAAACAACAUUUAUUAGGAGCAAAAUAAAAAAGCUAAACAACCACUUAUUAGAAACAGAGGGAGUACUAAUUAUCUGAUAGUGUUUUCAGUGUUACGCAUCAUGAACUAAAAGCUUAAUUUAAGAAGCAUUGACUGCUUAAUGAAAUCUUUUAAUUCACAAUGAUAAUAAGGAAAUCCAAUUUGUGUUGUAUCAUUCUAGCCUUUCCAUUUUUUAUGGAGACAAAGCAUUAAUAGACAAAUGGAGAUUGGACAUAUCAAGAUUUCAGUCUCAUCCUGUCAAAUCAUUAAUUGUAAAACCUUCAUGUAUUUCUAUGUUCAGCCUAAGAUAUUAAGGGGUUAAUAUUCUUUCAAAACAUGGAGAGUUUCUGAUAUUGGGAGACAUGGUUGUUUGUCGAAUAUAUUUAUUUCUCAAUAAUUGAAAUAUAUAAUUGUAUUUGAUGUGAAGAAAGUAUUAGUUAAAAUGCAGUUUGGUUCAUUUUGGCUAGGGAUUCCAUCCUUUCCAUGUAUAAAAGUUUUUGAAUGUAAGGAUGAGAAAUCAAGGUAUCUGCUACACUUUUUUUAUAUAUACGUGUAGCGCAUGUAUCGAGAAAUUAGUAAAAGAAAAAAAAAAUUCCUCAGCUAAUUCUCAAUCAACACCAACUCCAUCUUAGGAAAGUGUGGUUGGUUCUGUUCUUCCUCGAAUUCAAUGAAUUUUUGUCAUAUUGUCAUACAUAUAACGAAUAAUAUAUAUAUNNNNNNNNNNNNNNNNNNNNNNNNNNNNNNNNNNNNNNNNNNNNNNNNNNNNNNNNNNNNNNNNNNNNNNNNNNNNNNNNNNNNNNNNNNNNNNNNNNNNNNNNNNNNNNNNNNNNNNNNNNNNNNNNNNNNNNNNNNNNNNNNNNNNNNNNNNNNNNNNNNNNNNNNNNNNNNNNNNUAUGCCUCUUUUCCUCUUUAAAUUUUAAAGUAAUAAUUAAGAAGAAAAAAGAAGAAGAUACUAUUCAAUAAUUUAAUUCUGAUACCAUCAACAUGGAAGACUCCAUUUGCUUCAUCUAACAAUGGACUUUGGCAUUAUAUAAUUAACAAAACAAUUAAUUAUUAGGAUAACUUAAUCACCGACAAAGGUUUCUUACUAUUAUCCUUAUGAGAUUCCACUAGUUAAGCUAAAUAUUUUUAAUCGACGUAAGAGUUAUGAAUGUAUAAACAAGUAGAUCUUAGCUACAUUGACCUAGUCAAUCAUUAUUAUUACCGACAUAUUUAUGCUAUACAAAUAUUUGUCCUAAUGCUAUCUUUUAUUUAUUUUUUUAAUGGAAAAGGGUCAAAAAGAUUCCUGAAUUAUUCGAAGUGGAGCAAAAAUAUCCCUCAUUAGUUUUUUGUCUCAAAAGUAUCCCUCUCUAAUGAAAUAACACCAAGCAUGUCAUGUAGACAAAAUACGUCACUUGAACAGUUCACGUCAGAUCGACCAUCUUUAUUAAAGGUGAAUGCUCCAUUAAAUGAGAGAUUUUCCAUGUGGAUAUUGGCGCCUAGCGUGGACUGUUCAAGUGGCGCUUUUUGUCCACGGACAUACUUAGUAUCAUUCUGUUAGAGAGAUGAAUAGUUUUGAGCCAAAAAUUUAAUGGAGGAAUAGUUGUAAGCAAAAAAAUUAACGAAAGAUAUUUUUACUUUAUUUCAAAUAAUUUAGGAAUAUUUUUAAUCGUUUUUUGCUUUUUUAUGAUUUCUAAGUUGCUUAUAAUUUUUUUAUUACUACAUGAUUAACAAUAUUUUUUUAUUUCCAUAAAUAACAGAGAGUAAACUAAGUUGCACCUUAAUGGUCGAAAAGUAUUCACUAUUUUUUUUAGACUUAAAGAGGUGAUUCUGAUACAUGUCUUAUGAACAAUCAUUACAAAUUUUAUUAUUUUAAAUUUUGUUUUAGAUAAGUCUAUGAUUAAGUUGUUGGUGACCAAUUUAUUCAAUUGAGUGAGGCUGGCAUGUCCAAAGAUUUUAGGACGAAGAAACGGGUUAUUAUGUUAAUUAGGUAGAUUUAUUUUAGGGAGAAAUAAGACAUAUGCUUUAAUUUGUAAAUAUUAAUAAGUAUUUUUCCAUUUAAGCAUAGCUUCUUUUAAAUUUAAAUUAGUAAUCAAACAGUGUUUAGUAGUAUUUUCUACCUUGUUGGCUUUGUCACACAUUUGAGAGAUGCUAAAAAUGUGUAUUAAAAAAAAAAUAAGAUGGAAAGAGAAGCAUACUGGCUCAAAGGUAAAGCCGCUAAAACGUGCUUUAAGGUUCAAAAAUAGUAUUUUUAUUAUAUAAUUAGUCUCUCCUAUGUUUUACAGUUUAUAGUCUAUAUGCAAUAAAUCAAAUUCUAUUAUAUAAUUUUUUAUAUAAAAAUAAAAGUUUCUUUAAAGUUAUUAAAGGAUGUCCAUUUGUUGUAAUAAAAUACAUUGAUUUUGGUUCUCAGAAUCCUAUUGGUACAUAAUAAACUUUGGCUAUUUUAAUUCAAAGUUUUAAAAUAUCAAAUACAAUUCUAUAAUCUUUAACUAAAAAUUUAAAAAUAAGAUUAUUAAACUUCCGAUGAUAUGAUUGUAUAAGAAAAUAAUAAACAUUUUAAAAUGUUAUUGUAACUUUAUAUAAUACAUGUAACAGUAUUUUUCUAGUGAUUAUAAGAAGAAUUUUAUUGAAAAAUCAAACGUAAUUGUAACUUGCGGUAUUGAAAGUAAAAUUUGAUGGCGAGGAAAAUAUGAGUCCAUUCUUAUGUCAUUAAAAUUUAUAAACCUUUUUAUUAAGAUGACUUGAAAAUGGUAUUUAACUAUAUAUAAUUUAUAAUUUUUUAAUUAUCAUAAAUAAAAUAUUUCAUUUUCGUGAUAUUUUAGUUUGGAUUGCUUUCUAUCUAUCAUUAAUGACAAAAUACAUCGUCAGACCCCUUAAAUUGACACCAUUUUUCACUUUGGCAUCUUAAGUGGACAUUGUUCACCUUUGGCAGUUCAAAUAACCAUAAAGUGUAUCAUUUUGACAUCUUUCGACAUCAAUAAAAGUGUGUGUUACACUCACUGUCAACGUGGAUAAAACGGCCAACUGAUUUAUGCCAAUUCAUUUAAAUUGCCACAUCAUUAUUUAUAUUCACAAUUAGUUUUAAAAAAAAUAAAAUCAAAACAUAUGGCAAUUAAUGACAUAAUUAUCUAACUCAUUAAUAUAUAUACAAAAUUAAAUUAAAAGAAUCAAUUAAUUACUGACACGUGACAUUUUUCAAAAUAAUUAUAAAAUUAUUUAUUUUAUUUGGACAACCCUCCACCCACCUCCCACCCCCAAACUCCAAAGUCAUCUUCUCUACCACCAUCUAUCCCCCCGAUACCCCCCACCCUAAAUCAUCUUCUCUAUUUGGCAACACCCCUCUUCCCGUCAUGUUCUCCAUCUCCCUCCCCCCCCACCACCCCCAACCCCUGCCUGAGUCAUCUUAUCCUCUCCAUUUGCCCCUUUGAAAAGAUGAACACUCAAUCAAAGAUUAUAGUAUAUAUGUAUAUCAAAGACCUUGAUUAGUCAUAGCUUGACCUCAAAAAUUAGAAGGCAUUAAAUGACUGUUUUUUUUCUUAACAAAAAAUAAAAAAGAAAUGAUUGACCUUGAAAUAUAUUCAUCAGUAGUAUGUGUGAACCUAUUCUUUGGCAACGCAGUGGUCUUCUUACUACUUCAGUUGCAGUCAUAACAUGUUGACAAAGAUGGUGAUUGCUCAACAACAAAUCACUCGUUGUUGUUAGUGUGUUAGUGUGUUUCGUUAUUCUUGAAAAGUUCAACCUCCAUUAAUGGAAGUUAAGCUAAAGAAAGGUUGUGUGAAGAAGGCAAUGUGAGGAAAUUUUUUGUAAUUAUUUGGUCAAUAAAACAUGUGCCAUUAAUUUAUUGGAUCAAUUUUUACUGAUUUGGCAAUAGAGAUUUUCAAUAGUUUUAAAAAAAAUUUAAAGAUGAAAAAUUACAAAAAUAUCCCUAAAAAUUUAUGAAAAUACUCUUCAAACGCUCCAAAAAGUGAGCAACGUCCACUUGAAGUGCCAAAAUGAAAGAUAGCACCAAGUUGAGGACCGACAAUAUAUUCUUUCUUCAUUAAUUAGUGCAUGUACUACUCCUGUACUCCAUUGGUUUUGAUUUUUUCUUGUUCCUGCACAUUAUUUCUCCUUUUUUACUGUCUAUAUAGUACUAUUUUUUAACUUAGUAUGUUGAAAUUAAUUAUUUUUUAUUUGCAUAUGAAAAAGAAAUACUUAACUAGAUUGAUUCUUAUUCGUAUAUAAAAAGUUAAAAUAGUGAAAUUCAAGAAAAAUAUAUGAAUUUUAUAUUUGGCUUUAGAUGGCUAAUUAUAUUAAGCCGCCCUUGAAGGGACGGUGAAUUGUAAUAUUUUUUGUGGUUGACUAUGAGGCGAGCUAUAAUAUGAAAUCAAAUAAGUAACAUAGUAUAAUUAUGUGCUAAGUAAUGUGUCAUAUGAUAUUUUUCAAUUGAUUUGAAUUCAGUGUGAAUUAUAGUUAGUCCUUCCUUUUGGAUUUUUGUUAAACUGAAAUUUUCAUUUUUAUUACAUAGAGAGAGAAGUUAUAAAAAGGAUGAUUACAACGUGUUGUAACUUUUCAGGACGAAGAACAACAAGUCAUUGUUUUAUUAAAGAGGGAUUGUCCCUUGUCCAUAUCAGCUUUCAAGAAAAUAACAGAACAAAUGUUGAAUCUACUACUAUGAGAAAUUCAUCAUUUGUUUUGUUGGAGUUAGCCAAUGUCUGCUUUCUCCUUCCUAAUCCUAAAAUUAGCCAAACCAACUUUAUCCAACCUAUAAGUCCUUUAUAUUCAUCAUUAAGCUCUUGAAAUUGUUGUUGAGUACAAUGUUGAGGGUGUACUUAAUUUCUAAUCAUACAAUAGCGGUCUUUUUCACUCUUUGUAGUUGAUAUAUUGCCUCACCAAACACUAUUUUCCUCUCUUCGCUCUUUUUAAAUACACAAUAAAUGAAUUAGGAAGUUACAAUGCUUGUUAAGAAUAGCAUAGAGCUUUGGAGAAUGUUUGGACAGGAUGUACAGUUUCUUUUCCUAGAAGGCAUAUAUAGUCUUUGUGUGCUUGAUGUCUUGAAAAAGGAUAGAGAAAGACAAUCCAUACUACAUGAAAAAUAUUGAAUUGAGACAUAAUAUUUAUCAAUGGACAAGUCUGGCAUAGAGUUUAAACGGAUUUGUGAUAGAAUUAACUAAUUUAUAGUGUUGAUUUUAAUUUUUUCAAAAAUAAAUCAUAAAAUAGAUUGCCUAGCUUGACGUGUUAUGUGAUAUUAUGCAUAGAUUAAGUCCAUUGGAGGUUGUCUGAUUAGAGAAUCGGACAAUGCUUAGCAUGGGAAUUUCAUUGAAUAUGGAGCUAAGUGAGACUUUAAUCUCUCAUUUACUUGCUUUUUCAAAAGCAUUAUUUAAAACUGAGAAAUCGCUUCAAACUACUCCUCCACCCCAUUUUAGUUGGGCACAUUCUAUUUUAUACGGUGAUUAAGAAUCAUAAAUUGAAUGAUAAAUUUUACGAUCUUACCCUUUACUCAUAUUAAUGUUAUUCGUUGGGCAUAAGAAUGAACAUUGAAAUUGAAAUUGUUAACAUUUAAUAUAUACUAAAAAUUGUAGGGGAAAAAUAAAAAAAUAAUUAAUUUUAUCCUAAUUUAGUAAGUGGUCUUUUUUGGUGGGCUGAAACGCAUUAAAAAGAAAUAGCGGAGUAUUACAGUAGCACCUGGAUUAACCAGGAUCUACAAAAUUUGAGUUUGAGCUUAUGCCCUCUAAUGAAACAUUACAACACCUUGUUUGCCUAAUGAAACUAGUUCCUAGGAUGUCAGCCCAGGUAGCUUUGCAGCAUACAUUGGAGGAAUUACAAAAGAGUUUCUCUGUCCACAAACUUUCAGUCUUGCUCCUUCCUUAGCUAAUGCAUCCUUCACCAUAUUCUGCUCUUUAUAGCAGUGCUGGAUUUGUGGUCGUCCCAGACUCCUGAUUAGCAACCUGCAUCCAUUAAUUAUGGCAUUAUAGUGGAGGUUUCCCUCUUUGAGCAUAAUAAUAACCUUUUUCGAGUCUACAUUGAUGUCCACGGGAACUAAGGACAUUUCCUCCAUAAUUUUUAGUCCCUUUAGUUGAGCAAAGAGCUCCAUCUGGUUAUUAGUAAUCACAGGGAAAACUUUUUUGAAACCUGUAGUCCAAUUCCCUUCAUUGUCUCUAAUAACCCCUCCAAUACCACCCCUACCAGGAUUUCCCAAACAUGAGCCAUCAGUGUUAAGUUUAAAUCUUUCUUUAGAGGUUGGUUCCCACUUAACACUAAUGUUCAAUAAUCUAUUUGUCACGACCUGAAUCAAGGUCUGGCCGUGAUGGGCAUCCCUAGCCAACCAAGGUCGGAGAUGACCCCUAACCUUACCUCAAGAGCACAUCAGUAAAAACAAACAACAAAAUCCAACCAAGAUAAAAAGAGAAACAUAUGAUUCCAAAAGAAAGUUAAGAGUCAAAACCAACUCCAUAAUAAUAUCCCGACACUGCCUACAAAAGUCUCUAAUCCAAAAAUACCAACUAAGUCAAGACAUGUCCCCGACUAUAACAAAAGAAAUUCAAAAGUUCUGAAAUGAUAAAUGUAACUAAGAAAGAGGCCAAGUCUUUUGAUAGUUCAUAAGUUGGUUGAACUUGUGUUGAACUUAUUGUGGAUUAAAUACAAAUUUUGUACCCAGAAUAACAAUCUUAAGGAAUUUAUUAAUAAUUUUAAUUUUUGAGUUUCUAGAGAUUAAAACUUUUUGCUUUCUACGCUGUUUGAACUUUAUAGUGAUUUGAAGUUAUAAAAACUUCAUCACGGGUUAAUGUUCAUUCAGUUGAUGAUUAGAAGAACAUAAAAGCUUCAACAUUAAACUAGAAAUAAGUUGUUUAAAGUUUUUAAAACUUUAUUCUUAGUAUUUUGACUUACUAAAUUGGUUGUCUUUUUGUCACAGUAAAAAUGAUUAUUGAAAAUCAAGUUAAUGAUGGAAUGGUCAAUGUCACAACAACAAAUAUUGCUACUUAAAAUCGUUCAAAUGCUGCUCCGCCAAGGCACUGACAGAAAAAUCAGAAAGUUUUCUAGUGUGGAUUUUAAAAGAUGGCAGCAGAAGUUGUUCUUUUAUCUGACUACAUUAAAUCUACAAAGGUUCAUCACUGAAAGCAUUUCAGAGUUUUCGAAAGAAAUAUCCAAAAAUAUACUUUAUUACUACAAAAGCUUGAAAGCACUUGAAUUUUUUAUAUAAGAACUACAUACUGAGUGGCUACAACAUGGCAUGUACAAUGUGUACAGCAAUAUGAAGACCUCUAAGGAACUAUGGGUAGCUUUGGAAAAGAAGUACAACAUAGAGAAUGCAUGAAUGAAGAAAUUUAUUAUUGCAAGAUUUGUAGAUUUUAGGUGGUAGACAGUAAUACUGUAGUUACCCAAGUUCAAGAACCGCAAGUCAUCAUUCAUGAUCUCCUCACCAAAGGUAUAAAUUUGUUCUUGAUACUUACAUAGUCUCUGAUGUAGGCUUAAUUGUGAACGAGGCUUAUCAAGUAGCUGCUAUAAUCGAGAAGUUACCACAUUUGUGGAAAGACUUCAAAAACUACUUAAAGCACAAGCACAAGGAGAUGUCUUUCGAAGACCUUAUUGUGAGGUUAAGAAUCGAAGAGGACAAUAAAGCAUCAGAAAAGAGGUCUCGAUGGAAUUUACAAUAAGUAGAGAAAAUAUUGUGGAAGACGACCCCCAAUAAAUUAAAGAGAGAAAGGAAGCGUCAGGACAAUAAGGCAAUCCUCCUAAGAAGAAAUUCAAAGAAAAUUAUUUUAACUGUGACAAAGUUGGCCACAAGUCUUCAGAUUGUCAGGCUCCUAAGAAGGACAAGAAAAGAGGAUCAAGCUAACAUGGUUGAAUCCAAGAUGAUGUGGAGAUCUAUGUGCUAUGCUUUUGGAGUGCAUGUUGGUUGAAAAUCCUAGAGAGUAGUGGAUUAAUUCAGGUGCCACUAGCCACAAUGUGCCAACAAAAAAUUAUUUCCAUUAUAUUUUCUGGCUCAGGCUAAUGAGAACAUAUUCACGGUAACUCUGUUACGGUAAAGAUUGAAGGAAAAUGCAAGAUUUACUUGAAGAUGACAUUGGGCAAGGUGGUGACACUAAACAACGUCCUUUAUGUUUCAAAGUUGCGAAAGAACUUAGUUUCUACUUCACUUCUAACUAAAAAUAGAUUCAAAUAAGAAUUUGUUUCUGACAAAGCUGUAAUUAGUAAGCAAGAAGUGUAUGUAGGUAAAGGUUACUUCAUCGAGGAUUUUUUUAAGAUCAGUGUAAUAAAUGUUGAAAUCAAUAAAAAUUCUGUUUCUUCUUACUUACUUGAGUUAAAUGAAUUAUGGCAUGAACAUUUAGGACAUAUUAAUUACAAAACUUUGCAAAAACUGAUUAAUUUAAAAAUUUUGCCUAACUUUGAGUGUAAUAAAUCAAAUUGUCAAACAUGUGUGGAAUCUAAGUAUGCUAAGCAUCUAUAUAAGUCUGUUGAAAGGAAUUUCAAUCCCUUAGACUUAAUCCACACAAAUAUUUAUGCUAUGAAGUCAAUACCAUCUCAUGGUGAGAAAAAGUAUUUCAUAACUUUUAUUAAUGAUUGCGCUAGAUAUUGUUAUUUUUAUUUGCUAAAUGAUAAGAAUAAAGUAAUAGACGUAUUUUGGUAAUAUAAAACUAAAGUUGAAAACCAGUUGGAUAAAAAGAUCAAAAUAAUAAGAAGUAAUAGGAGUAGAGAGUAUGUAUCUUCUUUUGCAGGGGUAUGUUAGAAAAAAGGAAUUAUCCAUCAAACUAAUUUCCCGUAUUCACCUCAAUCAAAUGGGAUUGUGAAAAGAAAAAUUGAAUGUUAAAGAAAAUAAUAAUUGUCUUACUCAUAAGUUCAGAUAUACCGCAAAACUUGUGGGGGGAAGUUAUCCUUACAGCAAAUCGAAUACUCAAUAGAGUUCCCUAUAAGAAGACACACUCUAUCCUAUAUGAAAAUGAAAAGGAAGGAAACCCAACUUGAAAUAUUUCAAAGUGUGGGAUUGUCUAGCUAAAGUCCAAGUCUAUAUACCUAAAAGGAUAAAAAUAGGACCAAAGAUUGUGGAUUGUGUGUUCAUCGUAUAUGCUACAAGGAGUAAAGCAUUUCAAUAUUUGGUUCAUAAAUUCGAACCAUGAAAAUACGAUAAUCUGAAUCAGAUAAUAUUAAGUUCUUUGAAUACAUUUAUCCGUAUAAAAUUGGACAUGAGAUGUCUAGUGGAGGAUCUAAACAACCUCGAGAUGAACCAAAGGAGAAUGUACUUAAUAAUGAGAAUCAAGGUGUAGUACACGUCAAAUACCGUCAAUUUUCUUUGGAUAAGAUUUUGUAACAUUUCUUCUUGAAAAUGAGCCUUAAAAAUUGAAAGAAACGAUGUCGUCUUCAGACCCAUCCUUUUGGAAAGAGGCAAUCAAUGGUGAUAUAGAUUCAAUCUUGAGCAACCAUACUUAGGAAUUGAUUGAUCUUUCUCCGGUAAAUAAACCUUUAGGUUCUAAAUGGAUCUUCAAAAGGAAAAUAAAAGCUAGUGGUACUUUUGACAAUUAUAAGACAAGACUUGUUGUGAAAGAUUUUAGACAAAAAGAAGGCCUUUAUUAUUUCGAUACAUACUCGCCAAUAACAAGGAUAACGUUCAUUCAGAUGUUGGUUGCGUUGACGACAGUAUAUGAUGUUGAAAUUCAUCAAAUGGAUGUGAAUACAACGUUCUUAAAUAGAGAAUUGAAGGGAGAAAUUUACAUAAAACAACCUAAGGGUUUUGUAGUUUCUGGUAAAGAAAAGAAAUUGUGCAAACUUGUUAAAACACUUUAUGGAUUAAAACAAGCACCCAAAUAGUGGUAUAUAAAAUUUGACCAAACCAUGUUGGCAAACGAUUUCAGGAUAAACGAAUGUGAUAAAUGUGUUUACAUUAAAGACACUCCAAAUCACAAAGUCAUUAUUUGUUUGUAUGUGGAUGACAUGUUGACCAUCAGUAGAGACAUUCUAACAUAAAUGCUAUGAAAUAAAUGCCUGAGGGCAAGUUUGAUUUGAAAGACCUUAGAGUUGCUGACGUAAUCUUAGGGAUAAGAAUUUUUAGAACUCCAUAGGUAUUGGCGUUGUCACAGUCGCAUUACAUUGAAAAGGUGUUUGACAAGUUCAAGCAUUUAGAUUUCAAUAUUGUUGAGACUACAUUAGACAUGAGUUUUGCAUUUCAAAAGAAUGAAGGUGAAAGUAACUCACAGUUGGACUAUGCAAGAGUGUUGAAAAGUUUGGUGUAUAUAUCAUAAAUUGUACGUGAGAAGACAUAGAAUGCACUAUUAGUAAAUUAAGUCGGUAAAAGACUACUCCUAAUCAAACUCAUUGGAUGGAUAUGAAAAAAGUUUUAGGGUAUCUAAAACAUACCCAAGACUAUGUUUUUAUUAUAACAAAUAUCCAGCGUAGAUGAGGUGACUUUUCAAAAUAAUGUAAUUUUUCGUGAACCAUUACUUUCUUUCUGAAGCACCACAUUGUGGCUAUAAAUGCCUGAAUUUUUCCUCUGAUAAAGGUAUGAAGAUUUGAAGGGAAAAACAUUUUCUUUUUCUUCUUAAAACUCUGGUAUGAUCUUCAAACUAUUGAGUGAGUUCGUUGUUCAGAAAAUUUGAGGUACCACUAUUUUUUGAAGAGAAUCAUUUUUCGUAGGGAGGAUAUAUUCCUUUAACCUCGAGUACUUGACUAGAAUAAUUUUUUUAAGGAUACAUCGUGAAUUCAGUGGAUUUGACUCAAUCGUUUCUGUCUUCAUCCCAUUUUCUUAAAGUUGGUUUUAUUAUUUUUCCAGAAAAAUAGUUUGAACAUUAUAUUGAUAGUUCUUCAUUUGUUUGAACUUGUGUUUGAAGUUUUUGAAACUUCAUUUUGAUAGGUUAUAAGUUGUUGAACUUGUGUUGAAGUUAUUGUGGAUUAAAUACAGAUUUUGUACAAAAAAUAAUACGAAAUAGCUGUGAAACCUUGGGGAGCGACCAACUAAAAGAAUUUGCACCGAAGUCGAUCCGAAAUCACUUUCAAAGUAAUGGCUUACCACGACACAAUAUUUUCAGUUCCAUAUUAAUAUUAGAGUAAUUUUUCCAACAAGUGGCAAAGUUUGUUAUUUAACUACAAAAUUUGUUCGUCAACAAAUCCUUGUUUUUCUUUUGUUGGGUAGUAUAUUUUGGUUUUAUCUAAUCAAUCUAUUGACAAGCUAAGCGCCUACGAAAACGAUGUAGAUGUUCUACCUACGGGGGCGGGGGGGUGUCUAUUACAAUUACAAAAAUAAACUGAAUGUUGAGUUUCAGUUCCACUAACACCUUGCAAAAGUGAAUUACCCAUGAAAGAUGGGGGUAUUAUAUCAAAAAAAAAAAACAUAUCUUUUGUUGUUUUCUAAUUUCUAACGAUAUAUUUUUGAUCCAUUGCUUUCCCAUAGUAUGCUAACUUGACAGCCACUUUUUUUUGCUUUUCUAUAUACGUGGAACACUUUUUUUUUCGUCAAAAUGCGAAUCAUAAUUUAAUCCGUCAAUUUUUACUAAAUUGUAAUUGUCUUUUUUUUUUUAUAAACAGAGAUAGCAGGUAACCCAAGAAAAAAAAAUGUCUAGCAGAACAUAUUACGCAUCCUCGAAACUACUAUGACCUAUAAAACUAGAUGAUAAAAAAAUUGGUUUUAUCAUACUGGCACACUUGUAGAUGUUCCAUAAUUCAUGUAAAUUUACUUCAGAUGAAUUGUAGUUUUUGUGUUCAAAUUCAUAUAAAAACGAAAUGAUUUAAGUUUCGUUCUUUGAAUAUCGCCAUACAGAAAUAAAAUAGAACAAGGGGAGUACUUUUCUAGGUCUCUAUUUGAUAUUUUAUCAGUAACAAUUUGAAAAUAGUCAUAACUCAUACACGUAGUAGUAGGUGGAAAUGUUUCUGAUUGAAUUCGGCAUAAAAAUAUUUUUAUGGAAAAAAAGUUUCUUCUAGUUUUGGUUUAUAAGUGGAUCAAUUUUUGUGGAAAAAAAGUUUCUGCUAGUUUUGGUUUCUAAGUGGAUCAUUCCCUAGCGCUCUACUAAAUGAUUUAAUUUUAUAUAAAGAAGAUGAAAUUAUAAGAAAAAAGAGAAAAAAGAAAAAGACUAGAGAUCUAAAGAAGGGAAAACUUAAAGUAUGUGGUAAUAACUUCUUUUAUUCAUCACAUAAUCUCUGCAUUUUGCAAGGAGAUUGAAACUGAGCAAACAUACACAAAGACAUAAAAGUAAAAAUACAAAUAUAAAUAGAGUACAAACAAUAUCACUAAUAACUUAGAGAACAUGAAGCUACAAAAGAACUUCGCCUCCCGUGGGGCUUAUUGUUUACUCUUUUUUCUUCUUUUUGGCAUUGCCUCUCGAAAUGGAAAAUGCCUUUCCUUGAGCUCAACAUUCUGCUUUUCCUGCAUAAGAAUAUAAUAUUGUCAAUGAGAACAUAUAGUAACUGAUUAAUAAACCUAAUAAGUAGGAGAUAGCAUAGGCUUAUAUAUUAAUGCGUUUGCAUGAAGAAAUUGUGCAACUUGUAUUGAUUUGCAUUUAGACAAAUCAUUUUUAAGAAUUUUAGUUUGGCUUAAUUACCUUAGAUUUGAUGUUGUUGUUUCUUAGUGAUGGUAGGGAGGAGGUGGAGACUUGUAAACCGGAGUUGGUGGUGGUGGAGACUUGUAUACUGGUGCAGGAUGGUGUGGUGUUGGUGAAGGAUGGUAUGGAUUCACUGGUGGUGGUGACUUGUAAACGGGUGUUGGUGGUGGUGGAGAUUUGUAUACUGGUGCAGGGUGGUAUGACUUCACUGGUGGUGGUGGUGACUGGUAAACGGGUGUUGGUGGUGGUGGAGACUUAUAAACUGGUGCAGGAUGAUAUGGCUUCACUGGUGAUGGUGGUGACUUGUAAACGGGUGUUGGUGGUGGUGGAGACUUAUAAAUUGGUGUGGGAUGAUAUGGUGUUGGUGGAGGAUAGUAUGGCCUCUUAGGUGGUGGUGGUGACUUGUAAACUGGAGUUGGUGGUGGUGGCGACUUGUACACUGGAGUGUGUGGCGGGUAGUAUGGCUUUUUGGGUGGUGGUGGGGACUUGUAAACUGGAGUUGGGGGUGGUGGAGACUUGUAAACUGGGGUGUGUGGAGGGUAGUGUGGUGGUGACUUGUAAACUGGAGUCGGGGGUGGUGGAGACUUGUAAACUGGGGUGUGUGGAGGAUAAUGUGGCUUCUUUGGUGGUGGUGGGGACUUGUAAACUGGAGUGUGUGGAGGAUAGUGUGGCUUCUUCGGUGGUGGUGGUGACUUGUAAACAGGAGUUGGUGGUGGUGGCGACUUGUGAACUGGUGCGGGAUGAUAAGGUGUUGGUGAAGGGUGGUAUGGCUUCUUAGGUGGUGGUGGAGAUUUGUAAACAGGAUGAUGAUGGUGUGGUGGAGGGGACUUAUAUACUGGGUGGUGAUG
rnacentral:lncRNA from 1 species